UGAGAACUGGGCUGUUACUAAGUUGU
rnacentral:piRNA from 1 species